rnacentral:lncRNA from 1 species
GGAAAAGAGCAGGUGGACCUGGGAAGCAAGCGCAAAAAAAGGGGGAAGGAAGGAAAAAAGAAAAAAAAACUUGGUCAUGACUCCACUCAAGUUCACACUGCAGCUUCUCCUCCUUGGGGUUUUGUUGGUUUCCCCGGCUUAUUCUCAGCAAAACCCCUGCGAGAUCAUCAAGAAAACAGUUCCGCGAGGCUCUUACAAAUUAGACGUGGAACCUCUUUACUACAGACCUGGGGAAAUCUACACAGUUUCCAUUACUGGGAUAAACAACAGCACUUCUGUUAUCCUGCAAGCACUCUCUCCCAAAAGCAAUUCUGAUGGCCUGUGGGAAAGUGAAAACCAUCUAGUUAACUGUGGCACUGCUGAGUCCUUGGUGCAGCAAAAUGUCUCUGGCAGCAACACCCGGACAUUCUGGACCUCCCCAAGGAAUACCAAUGUGGCAUCUGCAGAAAUAAGGGCCUUUGUCACAUUUGUCAAUGGCACCACAUUGCUCCAGACUUGGAACUUGGAGAAAGAAAUGGCGACCGCAUCUACACCAGGAACAACCCCUCCCUCUAGAUUCCACAGCCCAACCCUUCGCAGCAAUGUGACCAACGUUCACACCCAUCUCAACACAACUGUUGCCCACCACAACUUUGCUUCCUCCCACCAGGGGACCAAAGAUCCCCACAGUUCAGUCUCUGUAGCCCAAGCCAGCUCCUUCCUCUUGGCUCUCAUGCAGUUCUUUUCUGUCUUUCUUGGCUACAAACUUCUCUCCUAAAUCUGAAUCCUUGAUCCCCGUGUUCCACAGAUAACACGUCUCUUUGUUUCCAACCAGAAUAUGAAAGGUGGAUGGCUCAUCUCAGGAAAGAAAUAGCCUGCCUUCCCCCUUUCCUCCCAGCUGCUAAUAAAUAUGGAUAUUUAAUUGCA